rnacentral:snRNA from 1 species
GAUGUGAGGGCAAUCUAGCUGCAACAUCUGUCACACCAUUGAACACCAGGGUUGAUUUACAUGAUCUUGCUGGGUAAGUGAGUGUCCCUUUUCUCCCUCAUCACAUCCUGUGCAUUCCUCCUGAAACCAUGCACUUGGUCAAAAAGAAUGUCUUCCUCCACUUGAGGAGGGCCGUUCUUCGGUUAAGGAUAUACAAGUAGUUGCACUCCCCUGCUACAAACUCCAAACAAACACAGAAUCUCAACAAAAAGUCAGCUCUGCUGUGAGCACCUCCU